rnacentral:rRNA from 1 species
UACGGAGGGUGCAAGCGUUAUCCGGAUUCACUGGGUUUAAAGGGUGCGUAGGAGGGCAGGUAAGUCAGUGGUGAAAUCCCCGAGCUUAACUUGGGAACUGCCGUUGAUACUAUCUAUCUUGAAUAUCGUGGAGGUGAGCGGAAUAUGUCAUGUAGCGGUGAAAUGCUUAGAUAUGACAUAGAACACCAAUUGCGAAAGGCAGCUUGCUACACGAAUAUUGACUCUGAGGCACGAAAGCGUGGGGGAUCAAACAGG